rnacentral:misc_RNA from 2 species
AACGCACAUUGCGCCCUUUGGUAUUCCGAAGGGCAUGCCUGUUCGAGCGUCAUUAUCAACCUUCAAGCCUGGCUUGUCAUUGGGUUUUGUUGCUGCCUUGGCGGUGACAGGCCUGAAAGUUAGUGACUGUGGUGCUUGACCCCCAAUGCAACGAGCCCUUUUUGGCACGCGUUGAAGGGUCAAGCCUCUCACGUCUUAACCAUUUUUUAUCUCAGGUUGACCUCGGAUCAGGUAGGAAUACCCGCUGAACUUAA